UACAGAGGGUGCGAGCGUUGUCCGGAAUCACUGGGCGUAAAGGGCGCGUAGGCGGCAAUUCAAGUCAGCUGUGAAAUCUCCGGGCUUAACUCGGAACGGUCAGCUGAUACUGCUUUGCUAGAGUGCAGAAGGGGCAAUCGGAAUUCUUGGUGUAGCGGUGAAAUGCGUAGAUAUCUGGAGGAACACCGGUGGCGAAGGCGGCAUCCUGGACCAACACUGACGCUGAGGAGCGAAAGCCAGGGGAGUAAACGGG
rnacentral:rRNA from 1 species